UUCAGCUGACAAAAAAAUGGGGAUUCCCUGCGUUGCAUGUAAAUAUGAAAAGUUUUCAGUGAUCAGCUCAUGACUAGUGGCUAGUCUGUGUGUGCAGUUCCACAAACUUGGAUGACCUUCUGAACCUAUAAAAACAUGAUGGAAAACAAACACAUCAGCACUUGGCAUUAUGAACCUUCGAAUUGCCCUCUCUCUCUCUUCCCCACACUCUCUCCUUCCCUUUCAUCCUGAUUCCAGCUGCACACCCAUCUCGCUCUUUCUGGGGUCCCCUGGCUACAGUACCCAUAAUUCACCAUAAGACACAACACCCACACCAAGCCCUCGCUAACCUUUAUAGCACGGCCAAGGCACAGCGAGGGGAGGAGAGGGGCAGGGGACUGGUGAUGGGGCAAAUACUUUCUCUGUGUCUCUUCGGGCCCCUGACCAAGAGCAAGGCCAAGAGGCCCCCUCCAAGAGGGUGAGAGAGAUCGAAAGAUCUCUCAACAGAGAGAAGAGAGAACAACAGAGAGAAGAUCUCACAGACUGAUAAAGCCAGCCAUGGUCAUUAAAGGAACUGGGAAAGAUAUGGAUCAAUGAGUAAAGAAGAGAGUGUUAGGAAGAGAUGCAAGAAGUGAGCUGCUAACUGA